rnacentral:rRNA from 1 species
UACGUAGGGGGCUAGCGUUGUCCGGAAUCAUUGGGCGUAAAGAGCGCGUAGGCGGCCCGGUAAGUCUGUUGUAAAAGUCAAAGGCUUAACCUUUGAAAGUCAGUGGAUACUGCCGGGCUAGAGUCCGGAAGAGGCGAGUGGAACUCCUGGUGUAGCGGUGGAAUGCGCAGAUAUCUGGAGGAACACCGGUGGCGAAGGCGGGACUCUGGGCCGAUACUGACGCUGAGGAGCGAAAGCGUGGGGAGCGAACAGG